GGCUCCUGGAGGAGGACGACGAGUUUGAGGAGUUCCCGGCCGAAGAUUGGACUGGUUUAGAUGAAGAUGAAGAUGCACAUGUCUGGGAAGACAAUUGGGAUGACGACAAUGUAGAAGAUGAUUUCUCCAAUCAGUUAAGUAUAUCUAUCUCUUCUAUACAGAGCUGAAUUAGAAAAACAUGGAUACAAGAUGGAAACGUCAUAGUUUUUGCAGAAUAUGGAGUGGCUUAACAUGGAACUGUGGAUAGACUAUAUUGAGAAAAGAAGAAAAGGUGGAAAAUGAGAAGACACACCUAGUUCAUUAUCUGCUUGGAUUUAUUAUUGUUUUGUAUAAAAAAUAAAGUUUUUAAUCUUAGCCUCGUCAUACAUUCAGCCGCUACUCACCUGGUACCUUGUAGUUUGGUUCUGAAAUGCCCUGUGUGACAGAAUUCAUGGACUUACCUUGAAUGCCACUAAUGAUCUGUCAGUGGCUGACGAUCUUGCACCAGCUUCCGUCAUGGGGAGCUAAAUAUGUGUAACUAGAAUGAAGACUGUGAAUAUUUCUGUCACAGGGAAUGUGGAGGUGUCAAAAAGAAAUAAAAUACUGGUAUAUUCCAUUAAAA